AUGGAGAUCAGUGAUGCCUUGGACAAGUGCAAGGGGCUGAUUGAGGAGACAGAAUCCUUCAGGGUGUCAUGUGAGAAGAUACGAAGCAGCCUUCAAGGACUAGAGCUCAAUGCCAGUGCCAAGACCAAGGGCACCUAGAUGAAAGACCAAAGGAUCUGCUGAAGCAGAAGGAGCUGGUCAACCCGCAAGAGGACUUGGCAGACAAGCUCCAACAUCACUUAAAUGUCUCUGAGAUGAGGUCAGAAAAUCUCCAGUCUGAGUUUGAACAGGCCACAGUUCGGGAUGAGAGCAUCCUUCAGACCAAGAUCCUACAGCAGGAGCACUAAUUCUAAAAGGCAAGUGAACCACAAUUGCAUCCCAUACCUAUCAAGCA